rnacentral:rRNA from 1 species
AUUGAACGCUGGCGGCAGGCUUAACACAUGCAAGUCGAGCGGAGCGGCGGACGGGGACGUAAGGCUUAGGAAUCAGCAUGGUCGCGGGGGAUGAGGUCCGGCAACGGGCGCUGAUACCGAAUACUCUAAGUUGAGACUAGGUCGGUUUAGCUAGAUGGUGGGGUAAAGGCCUACCAAGGCGAAGAUCCGUAACUGGUCUGAGAGGAGGAUCAGUCACACGGGAACUGAGACACGGCCCAGACUCCUACGUGAGGAAGCAGUGGGGAAUAUGGGAAAAUGGGCGAAAGCCUGAUCCAGCCAUGCCGCGGGUGUGGAGAAGGUCUUCGGGUUGUAAAGCACUUUAAGUUGGGAGGCGGUACCAACAGAAUAAGCACCGGCUAACUACGUGCCAGCAGCCGCGGUAAUAC